GCCAGCAGCCGCGGUAACACCGGCGGCCCGAGUGGUGAUCGUGAUUAUUGGGUCUAAAGGGUCCGUAGCCGGUUUGGUCAGUCCUCCGGGAAGUCUGAUAGCUCAACUAUUAGGCUUUCGGGGGAUACUGCCAGACUUGGAACCGGGAGAGGUAAGAGGUACUACAGGGGUAGGAGUGAAAUCUUGUAAUCCCUGUGGGACCACCUGUGGCGAAGGCGUCUUACCAGAACGGGUUCGACGGUGAGGGACGAAAGCUGGGGGCACGAACCGGAUUAGAUACCCGGGUAGUCCCAGCCGUAAACGAUGCUCGCUAGGUGUCAGGCAUGGCGCGACCGUGUCUGGUGCCGCAGGGAAGCCGUGAAGCGAGCCACCUGGGAAGUACGGCCGCAAGGCUGAAACUUAAAGGAAUUGGCGGGGGAGCACAACAACGGGUGGAGCCCUGCGGUUUAAUUGGACUCAACGCCGGACAACUCACCGGGGGCGACAGCAAUAUGUAGGCCAAGCUGAAGACUUUGCCUGAAUCGCUGAGGAGUGGUGCAUGG
rnacentral:rRNA from 1 species